UACGGGGGGGCAAGCGUUGUUCGGAAUUACUGGGCGUAAAGGGCUCGUAGGCGGCCAACUAAGUCAGACGUGAAAUCCCCAGGCUCAACCUGGGAACUGCGUCUGAUACUGGAUGGCUUGAAUCCGGGAGAGGGAUGCAGAAUUCCAGGUGUAGCGGUGAAAUGCGUAGAUAUCUGGAGGAAUACCGGUGGCGAAGGCGGCAUCCUGGACCGGCAUUGGACGCUGAGGAGCGAAAGCCAGGGGAGCAAACGGG
rnacentral:rRNA from 1 species